CCUGGGGAGUACGGCCGCAAGGUUAAAACUCAAAUGAAUUGACGGGGGCCCGCACAAGCGGUGGAGCAUGUGGUUUAAUUCGAUGCAACGCGAAGAACCUUACCUACUCUUGACAUCCAGAGAAUUUAGCAGAGAUGCUUAAGUGCCUUCGGGAACUCUGAGACAGGUGCUGCAUGGCUGUCGUCAGCUCGUGUUGUGAAAUGUUGGGUUAAGUCCCGCAACGAGCGCAACCCUUAUCCUUUGUUGCCAGCGAUUCGGUCGGGAACUCAAAGGAGACUGCCGGUGAUAAACCGGAGGAAGGUGGGGAUGACGUCAAGUCAUCAUGGCCCUUACGAGUAGGGCUACACACGUGCUACAAUGGCGUAUACAAAGAGAAGCGACCUCGCGAGAGCAAGCGGAACUCAUAAAGUACGUCGUAGUCCGGAUUGGAGUCUGCAACUCGACUCCAUGAAGUCGGAAUCGCUAGUAAUCGUAGAUCAGAAUGCUACGGUGAAUACGUUCCCGGGCCUUGUACACACCGCCCGUCACACCAUGGGAGUGGGUUGCAAAAGAAGUAGGUAGCUUAACCUUCGGGAGGGCGCUUACCACUUUGUGAUCCAUGACUGGGGUGAAGUCGUAACAAGGUAACCGUAGGGGAACCUGCGGUUGGAUCACCUCCUUACC
rnacentral:rRNA from 1 species